GCUGGUUUAGCUCAGUUGGUAGAGCAAUUGCCUUGUAAGCAAUGGGUCAAUGGUUCAAGUCCAUUAACCAGCA
rnacentral:tRNA from 2 species